rnacentral:rRNA from 1 species
AUUGAACGCUGGCGGAAUGCUUUACACAUGCAAGUCGAACGGCAGCACGGACUUCGGUCUGGUGGCGAGUGGCGAACGGGUGAGUAAUGUAUCGGAACGUGCCCAGUCGUGGGGGAUAACGUAGUGAAAAUUACGCUAAUACCGCAUACGAUCUAUGGAUGAAAGCGGGGGAUCGCAAGACCUCGCGCGAUUGUAGCGGCUGAUAUCAGAUUCGGUAGGUGGUGGGGUAAAGGCCCACCAAGCCAACGAUCUGUAGCUGGUCUGAGAGGACGACCAGCCACACUGGAACUGAGACACGGUCCAGACUCCUACGGGAGGCAGCAGUGGGGAAUUUUGGACAAUGGGCGAAAGCCUGAUCCAGCCAUUCCGCGUGCAGGAUGAAGGCCCUCGGGUUGUAAACUGCUUUUGUACAGAACGAAAAGGUUUCUACUAAUACUAGGAGCUCAUGACGGUACUGUAAGAAUAAGCACCGGCUAACUACGUGCCAGCAGCCGCGGUAA